UGCCUACGGACAUACGCUGCCUCUCACGUGAAGAUGAGAAGUGCACACACUGCCUCUCAUGUAGAGAGAAGAAGUGAACAUGCUGUCUAUGGACACAUGUUGCCUCUCGCAUGGAGACAAGAAGUACAUACACUAUCUAUGGGCACACGCUGCCUCUUACGUGAAGAUGAAAAGUGUACAUGCUACCUCUUAUGUGAAGACGAGAAGUGCACACACUAUCUCUCAUAUAAAAAUGAGGAGUGCACAUACUGCUCCACUCACA
rnacentral:lncRNA from 1 species